AGGUUUCUGAUCAAAUGAUACCUAGUUCCUUCCUGCAAUUAACUCCCUGAAGGUGAGAGUCAUUUUCAUUAUUUGAAUGGUCCAGAACUCCAGAACAAGCUCAGUUCACUUGGAUUUGGGGAGCGGAUGACAGAAGAAAUGUCCACUUUCUGCAGCUAAGUGUAACCAGGUAAUUAUUGCAAAAGACAAAUACUGCAUACUGACUGUUCAGGGGAGAAACUCUGGCC
rnacentral:lncRNA from 1 species